CCGGCCUUCUCGGUCUUCGAAGGACCCGGGCCAUGUAGACCGCGAAGGCCGGGUCCUCUGAAGGAUGCAGCCGAUGUUUUGGGACACAACCAGUGAUUCGCUCGCUCUACGAUUCAGCACAGGAAAGGAGGGGGGGCGGAGUCCCCCUCAGUCUGCACUCCAGGACCACCAGCUGACCCUUCACCGUAGACACGUCGUGGAGACACUGGCAGAGGGAGCAAUGAUGACCAUGAUCAAGAGAAGGGCUGACACACAGCGGCUGCACCAGGCUGGAGUGUCUCUGACUGAGGAGAGUGGAGGAGGAGGAGGAGACGGUGGAGGAGCAGGAGGAGAGCUCACGAGUGGAGGAUGCAGCAGCAGAGGAGGAGGAGAUGGUCAGAGACAUGGAUGCAGUGACAGAGGUCCUGUAAAGACAAAGGGAGACUCUCAAACAUGCUCUGCUGCAGUGUUGUAGAAAUGAGUGUCUGCAGAAUUUGUGGCAGCGACAACAGGACACAUUCAUCCAGUGCAACAAAUCCGCUACCUGGCAAGCAACAGAUGGACAGAGGCACACAAGCAGUGGCAGCCAAGUUCAGUGAUGUCCCAAACAAGGAUCUAACGUUCAUAUUAUCCGAUGAGAGGCAAAUCAAAGACAUUGGCGACAGUGGCAUCCUUUUUGCUUUAGUGUAGGUGAAGACUGAGCAGCAUUAGACCCUAAAUUUCCCAUAAUGCAACUUGCUGGUGUCUUCUCAGUAUACCCUCCCUCCCUGGGUGUCCCAUGUCGACUGUCAUGCCUUCAGAUUAUUAAGUUUUUCUAAGUGCCUAAAGUUUAAAGUGAGACGAAAGGACGUCCAAACUGACAGAAGAUGCUAAAACAUGAAUCCAAACAUCAUCACUAGAUUGUCCAGAAGCUUAUUGCCAGUUGGCCUUUAGCAGCCUCAAAGAGGAAAGAUGCUACCCAUCUCAGACCUCCUGUUUCCCUGAAGCCAUACCCAGUAAAACAUGGUAGAAUUAGGCCCAGCUAGCCAGGAGUUCAGUGGGCCCCAAAACCAGAGCCUCUGAAUACAGUGACUGGAAUAUUUUUUGUUUCAAAGUCAUUUGACGUAAUUGCAGUAUUGUACACAAAGGAUCUAAAGAACAAAGAAAGACACACCAAAUCUAAAAGAACACAAAAGCAGCUACAAAGAACCACAAAACCAUAACUUGCAAAUUGAUUCUUCUUUUUUUGCUGUUUCACUCACACAUUUAUACCCGAGUUCACGUUCGAGCCUGCUCUGCUUCUGUCAUAAGUGAGUGUAUAUCAGCCCCUCACUGUUCUGCCUCUAGCUUCAACCUGUUUUUGGAUCUACGGUCUAAGAAACACAUUGUCCUACCACAAAUAUCUCCACACUCACCUGCCUGCAGGGCUAUAUUUGUCUGUGUGGUGAGAAGCAUUAAUACAGUAUAAUGCAUAUAUAAAUUCACACAACUUUAGACCAAUCGUAGGUCCCUAUUGCUGCAGACUGCCACUCUGAACAUUUGCAUGUAAUUUGUCGAUAUGGCUUGCUAAUGCGUAUGGCACACGACUCUGUGUUGCUCAUUGAUGUGUCAAUGAAGAAUCAUGGCUGGUAUUUUUAACAGCAUGUUGAGCCCACUGAUUCUGUUACAUGGGGAAAGAGGAAGAUGGCUGCACUCUGUGUGAGUUCAAUAUUCCAGUAAGUGCAUUUCCAGUGCACCUGUUCUCACCUGACAGGAGAAAGGCAGCCUUUGGAGAUGAGUCAUGGUGACGGCUGUUUGUCAUUUGAUUUGCUAUUAAACACGGUGAGUGGUGAUAGUUAAUAGGUGCCAUAAAAGUAUCCUCCUGCCUGUGUUAUUAGCAUAAAUAUCUAUUUUAUACACUAGCAGCAUGUUUAGAUGUGUCAUUUACAGUUAUCAAAGAAAACUGAGCUGUCCUGCAGUCGACGAGCAGAUUCUGACAAACUGGAAACAGGAAGAAACAGUCAGCUUUGCUUAUUUAAACAGAUCCCUCAUUGCAGCCCUGGCUGUACACAACAUCAUGAAGCUUUCAGCCACUAGCAGCUCUCAGCUGUGGACAGGAGUGGCACAUUAGAGCAGAAAUCCAGAAUGAAGUGGACCGUGUUCAAAUUAGCUAACACAGCAACCUUUAUAUAAACCUGUGGGCUUUGAAAAGUGCCCUCCAAAAAUCUAGAGUAAUAUAUUAGCUACUGAAUGUAGGAGGUUUAUAACAGGCUAAGCAAAAUGCACAAACACAUACAUAUUGUUAGACGUUUUCUAUAUGACCCAUAUGACGUAUGUACCAUACAUCUCUGUGACCAGACCAAGACCACACCAGUAAAGAGAAAAGAUACAAAAAGGCACACACUGUUGCUUUACUCAGCUAUAAUGAUAAAAGUAGCAUUACAUUAGUGUCAGUUUAUACUGUAUAUGGUAUGAUGUUUUGUCAUAGCAGCAGGAUAUGACAAUGAAUUAAAUUAUAUCUUCUCUAACAGCACAAAUCUUGGUUCACGCCGGCAAUUCUCUGAGACUGUUCAGAUACAGUAGUAAUUUAAGAUAAAUGCUAUUAUUGGUAAUAAUGGUUGUUUUGGUGUGUUACAAAAUAAGUCAGAAUUCAGAAAUUUGAAGUUCCCAGUUGGAAAUUUUUUUAUGGAAUUCAGAUUUCCUACUCGGAAAGAGCAGACCAACAUACCCCGAGUUAGCAAACCAAGGUGGUAGCACUGAACGUAAGCAGUAGUAAAACUGUAAACUUUUAAUCUGUACUAAUGUGUUUAAAAAAAUUAUGCUGUAUUGCUAGUGAUACCUAAAUGUCUCUAUCUUGCAAAGAACCAAAACAAAUUACAAGUUAUGACAUCAAGUUCCGAGGUAGCGGGAACACUGUAGCGGGUUUCUAGCGGUGUGGCAGGUUAGCAUGCUAACACUUGCUAAUUAGAAUUCAACAGAAAGUAAAUUUUUUUCAGCUUAACUUUAUAAACCAGUUUAAUCAAGACACUUUCUAUUGUAAGGUAAACACCCUACAGCAUUAGAGAGAAGUGCCCAACAAUCAGCCAAUUGUUGUAUACCUGAGACUGGAAUACUAACCAGAGCCGUAUUUAAACAUAACAGACUUACUGAAAAAAAGACCUGACACAGGACCUGAGAAAAGAAUCGUAACUUUCAGUUUUCACUGAUAAGCCUCUUUAGAAAUGGUCUCAGUGGAAGGGUGACUGUGAAGAAGCUGUUCUUAAGGAAGCAAAAUUAUCCACUUUCCUAGCAAAAUAUACAGCCAUGAGGGGUGGCUUAAGACUUUUGCACAACAGUGUAAUUUUCUGUGACUUAUCCUGAAUCAGUAUUCUCUGUAUAACAAGACAACUUUAUAAAUGCAAAUGAAUGUAGAGGCUCCAGUUUGAGAUUCAAAUGUCUGUUGCAGCUUAAUUUUUUAAUCGAGACGUGAUUUCAAAGGCCAACUCUUUGUAAAGGGACUACUGAUGACAAAGACACAUCACAUUUUGAAUUUUUUCAAUUGCAUCACUCCAGAAACCCUCCUAGCCCUCAACCUAUGACUCUCCAAUUCUCCUACCUCCUCAGCUUGGCUGUGCACAGGACCAAUUUAGCACAGACUGGGUCACCUGAUCUCUCUUUUGGCCAACCAGAACCCAGUGGCUGAACACAGUGUCACACAGGCAUGCCAAGCUUGUACACACACACAGCUCAAAUUUGGCUGGUAUGUCUUAUGUUGCCUCACACUGCAGGACAUAUAACUGACACAGUUCCUUUUUUAUUUAUACCCUUUAAAUUCCCCUCUUCAUUUGCUGCACUGGAUAUCCAAUGUGGAUAGUUUGCACCAAUGUCCUUGGGUUUGCCUAUAUACUUUUCAAAGAUUAGCAUUUUGCUCAUUUAAAGAUGUGCAACAGGAUGUUCUCUUUUGAUAGACGCCAUUUUGUAACAGUAACUACAAAGAAUCUUUGGUGGUGUCACUGGUAGCUGAAGGCAGCGAGGGGAAAGUAAGCAGGUAGAUCAACAGAUGGAUAGGCAAGUAGAAGGGUAGGUUAUUAGAUAAGCAGGUAGGUAGAAAGCUACGUAGCUACAUAGGUUGGUAGUUAGAAUAAUAGCGCGUUGAGGUUACUAUUGUCAAUGAAAUAUAGCUAGAUAGCACAUGACACAGCAUAUAAAUUAUAAAUAACUUCAGACAGAUCAUCCCAGCUGUCCUCUUCCUUCUGACUGCAAACUCAGUCACUCCAGUACUGCCUGUAGUAUCAGUAGCAUGCAGUAUCAGGAUCCCAUUGGCCAUGGACCAAAUGAAUUACACCAUUUGAUUAUCUGAUUAACUUGACUGUUACUUUCUCUUUUCUUUGAAUCCGGUUCGAAGCAUGCCACACAUGCUGGACUCCCACUUUUGCGAAACUUUCUGGAUGUCUCUACCAAAAUGCUAAAUGAAAUGCAAGCUGGGUUGCACAAGUUCCUCCAUGCUGUGAUUGUGUGUCAUAUGCUUCUAGCUUAAUUUAGACAAGCAACAGGCAGCUCUGCAUCCUCAACACAAUCUUUAAUCCAUCAGAAGCGAACUUCCGCAAAAAUAUCCC